rnacentral:rRNA from 1 species
GAUGAACGCUGGCGGCGUGCCUAAUACAUGCAAGUCGAGCGAACAGACGAGGAGCUUGCUCCUCUGACGUUAGCGGCGGACGGGUGAGUAACACGUGGAUAACCUACCUAUAAGACUGGGAUAACUUCGGGAAACCGGAGCUAAUACCGGAUAAUAUAUUGAACCGCAUGGUUCAAUAGUGAAAGACGGGUUUGCUGUCACUUAUAGAUGGAUCCGCGCCGCAUUAGCUAGUUGGUAAGGUAACGGCUUACCAAGGCAACGAUGCGUAGCCGACCUGAGAGGGUGAUCAGCCACACUGGAACUGAGACACGGUCCAGACUCCUACGGGAGGCAGCAGUAGGGAAUCUUCCGCAAUGGGCGAAAGCCUGACGGAGCAACGCCGCGUGAGUGAUGAAGGUCUUCGGAUCGUAAAACUCUGUUAUUAGGGAAGAACAAAUGUGUAAGUAACUAUGCACGUCUUGACGGUACCUAAUCAGAAAGCCACGGCUAACUACGUG